rnacentral:lncRNA from 1 species
UGUUGAUUUCUUGGAAACUUUCUCCCCUGUUGUCAAGCCUGCCACUAUCAGAUUAGUUUUGGCAUUGGCCUCUAUGAAGCAUUGGCCUAUACAUCAGUUGAAUGUCAAUAAUGCUUUCUUACAUGGGGAUCUUUCUGAGGAUAUUUAUAUGACUCUGCCACCCGGAUUUAUAUCUCCUCAACCGAAUCAAUGCUGUAAGCUACUAAAGUCACUGUAUGGUUUACGACAAUCUAGUCGUAUGUGGUAUGACAAACUUUCUCAUCUUUUGCUAUCUCAUGGAUAUCAGCAGACCUCAUCUGAUUAUAGUUUAUUUGUCAAAUUCAUUGGUGAUCAAAUUUCUAUCCUUUUAGUCUAUGUUGACGACAUUGUUCUCACUGGUAAUUCCAUUUCUGAACUUGCUGCCAUUAAGUCUAUUUUACACCAACACUUCCGAAUUAAAGACUUGGGCCCAUUAAAAUAUUUUUUGAGUAUUGAAGUUGCUCAAUCAGAGAAGGAAAUUUGCUUAUCUCAGAGAAAAUAUUGUCUUGAUCUUUUAGAUGAUUCUGGUUUAUUAGGUGCUAAACCUGCCUCUGUUCCAAUGGAUAGUACCACAAGACUAUAUCAAGACAAAAGUCCCUUGCUAUUCGACCAUUUUGUAUAUCGUCGUUUGGUUGGCCGUCUUAUCUAUCUCACCACUACUCGACCGGACAUUAUGUAUGCCACUCAAUAAUUAAGUCAAUUCAUGGCAUCUCCUACUGAAUCUCAUCUUCAAGCUGCCAAGCAUGUGUUACGAUAUCUGAAAACUAGUCCCGGCAAAGGACUUUUCUUUCCAAGGGAAUCAAAAAUUCAGCUUCUCGGCUUCAGUAACUCUGAUUGGGCCGGAUGUCCUGACACUCGGUGAUCUUUAACAGGUUAUUGUUUCUUCUUAGGCAGUUCUUUAGUCUCCUGGAAGACCAAGAAACAAACCACCGUUGCCUGCUCUUCCACGGAAGCAGAAUAUCGUGCACUUGCCAACACAACUUGUGAACUUCAAUGGAUAUUAAAUGUGUUACAAUUUUUACGCAUCUCUCCUAUGCGCCCACCAGUUUUAUAUUGUGAUAAUCAGAGUGCUCUUCAUAUUGCUGCUAACCCGGUUUUUCAUGAACGGACCAAACAUUUAAAGGUUGAUUGUCACUUGGUUCGACAAAAAGCUCAAGCUGGAGUGAUGAAAUUUCUCCCAAUUCCCUCUUCUGGGCAACUAGCUGACAUCUUCACCAAGCCUUUGUCUCCUCAACCCUUCCAUCUUAAUCUGAAUAAGCUUAGUGUUCUUGACAUCUUUCAUCCUCCAGCUUGCGGGGGCGUAUUAAACCACUCUUCCACCUUAGCCCGCUGCUAACCCGGUUUUUCAUGAACGGACCAAACAUUUAGAGGUUGAUUGUCACUUGGUUCGACAAAAAGCUCAAGCUGGAGUGAUGAAAUUUCUCCCAAUUCCCUCUUCUGGGCAACUAGCUGACAUCUUCACCAAGCCUUUGUCUCCUCAACCCUUCCAUCUUAAUCUGAAUAAGCUUAGUGUUCUUGACAUCGUCUCACGGCCCACAAAUUCAGCCCAACAGAAUACACAAAUUAAAUGAUAAUUUAGUCUUUAUCUUAUCUUAUAGUUAUCUUUAUCUUUAUCUCUAUAUCUUAUCUUUAUCUACUUUUAUCUUUCAUAGGCCAAUACUCUAUAUAUACUUAAUUUUACUUUCAUAGUUUACAAUUCAUUCAAUCAACAAUCAAUAAAAUUUCUUACCAAAGAUAUGAGACUCGAACCCGCAACUUCUUAAUUGAGUAUGGGAAGACUAUGCCAUUUGAGCUAUUACUCGUUGGCACCUCCUUCAUUUUUCUAAGUAUUUAUUAACAAAAACUUUUAUAAUAAUAACUAUUUUUUCUUAUUAUGAUAUUGAGUAUUGGACAUUUUUUAUUUUCAAUAAAUUAUACAAAAGUCACCUUUUAUUUCUUUAACUUUGUUUCUACAUUCUUUUGAAAAAAUGUUAUUCCUUUUUCAUGGGUAAAACAGAUUGAAUAUUUAGAAAUUGUGUAUUUUACUUGAGAGAACUUACUGGAAGAAAAAAGAAGGCAUAAAUUCCUUCACUUGAAGAGUUUUGUUGCUUGGUUAAGAGUACAUCCUAACAGUAAAAUUGGAAAGUGGACUAAAUGUCCUAAAAACAUUUUUGGCUUUGAAUCUUUAUUUGAAAUGUAAAAACUUUUAUUUUUGCAUCGUCAAUACUAAAAUAUUUUGUUAGUUUUUUUGUUUCUACAAUUAAUUCAAAAAUUAUUUUUUUUUAAAAUAAAGAAUUUAACACAAUACAGUAGAGCAGUUAAACAAAAUCCAGAGCCAAAAUAAAAAAAUGUAACAACAUUAAUUCAAAAAUUAUUUUUUAUACUAAUAAAAAAUUUUAAAAUUUAUGAUUAUUAUAUUAUAAAAACAUAAAUAACAUACACAUUAUUAUUUUAAUAAAAUACUUUAGAUAUCUCGCUUAAUAAUGUUCCAACACUAAAUUCAGAGAGCUGAAAAGAAAGGAAUAUGCAGUGAGAGUUCGCAUGACAUUGUUAAUGUUUUAGUGCAUUUGAAUUAACUUGGUAGUAGGUAGUGAGAGUUCGCAUUACAUUUGUGUUUUGAUUUGUAUUCUUUUUCUAUCAGAUGUGGAACCAUACCAUGCGGAUUGCAUAUUGAGAAAAUUCAACCGAAAAAUUAUAUAAAAGUUUCUACUUAUUUUCACUAUAGAUAUGGUUCUGUGUGAUGAUUUGACAUAAAAAAAAUUUAAUACAUAGUAAAUUUAAACAACACCUGAAAAUUUAUAUGUGUAGCUGGCAUAUUUAACCAUUAUAUUCACACACAUAUUAAAUUAUAUUAACACAAAAUAAAAAAGGACAGUAAAAUUUUUCUUUUGUAGGAAAAGAAUUUAAUGAUAAACUUUUUUUAAAUAAAUACAAAUAAGAAUUAAGAAUCAAGAAUUAAGAACUAUGUAAAAAAAAAAUUUAUUUUUUUUACUACUUAAAUGUAAAUAAUAAUAACAUACUUGAAUGUAAAUGAUAAUAGCUAGUAAUAUAAAUAAAAUUUGACGCUCAUAUUACAUACGAUGUGAGCAAAAAUAAAUAAAAAAGAAAAAAUUUUUAAAUAGACAAUAAUAUGGUAUAAAAAAUAUUAUUUUUGGUGACAAAAUUUGAUCCACAUAUAAUAUACCUAUUUAGAUUUUCAUAUAAUAUAUCAAUAACUUAAUGAAUCAGCUUGGGACUAGAAUAAAGAAAAUAAAAUCUAACAUAACAUUAUCAAUCGUGAACACUAAAACGUAUGUUUUCUUUAAAAUUCCUACUCAAAUCUAAUAGUAAAGAGAAUAGAAUUAAAAAAAUAAAAAAUAAGAAAACAUUUUNNNNNNNNNNNNNNNNNNNNNNNNNNNNNNNNNNNNNUUAAAAAAAUAAUAGAAAAACAGUUGAAAGUGUCUAUUAAGCCGUUAGUUAUAUAUAAAAAGAUAGAAAAGAAAGGAAAUCUUAAUUUAUAAAUCAAUAAUAUUUUUAAAAUUCAAAUAUAAGAUUUCUUAAUUUGAGUAUAAAAUAUUUAGAGUAAAGUAUUGUUUUUGUCUCUAACAUUUGGAGUAAGUCUCAAAAUUGUCCCCAACGUUUCAAUCGUCCUAUUUAAGUCCCUAAUGUUUCAAAAUUCACUCAAUAUUGUCCUGCCGUUAGGGAUCUGUUAACAUAAUUGACGGCGGGACAAAAUUGAGACGAUUUUGAAACGUUAUGAACUUAAAUAGGACGAAAACGUUAGGGACAAAAACGAUACAUAAAAAUAAAUUUUAAUUUAAUUUUAUCUUUUAAUAAUAUUAAUUUAUUUAGAAUCAAAGUAAUGUGAUUAAGUGUAAUUAACUUAAAUGUGAUUAAAAAAUAAUUGAAUAACUAUAUACCAUAAAAAAUUGAUAUUAUUAAAGGAUAAAAUUAAAAUUUAUUUCUACGUUUUUGUCCUAUUUAAGUCCCUAACGUUUCAAAAUCGUCUCAAUUUUGUCCCGCCGUCAAUUCUGUUAACGGAUCCCUAACGGCAGGACAAUACUGAGUCAGUUUUAAAACGUUAGGGACUUAAAUAGGACGAUUGAAACGUUAGGGUCAACUUUGAGACUUACCCCAAACAUUGGAACAAAAACAAUACUUUACACAAAUAUUUAUCACCUUUAAUUAUUCUCAUAUAAUAAUAUAUUAAUAGGCACUUUCAUUAUAUACAUUUAAUACGUAAUUUAUUUUUGGCUUGGGCAAGUUAAAUUAAACAAGCUCACCACUACAAUAGGUAGCAACAACAAUGCAACAGGACCGUGCAUUUGGCACUUUCAUAUUCCAUUAUAUUCAAAAGAUAAUAGAUAAUAUAUAUAAUACUUGGUAAAUAUUUUUGGAGUCCCCCAAAUUAGACAAGCCCAUUGUAGCAACAAUAAUGCAACAGGACAAAUCAAUUUAAAUUAGUCUAGUGAUUAGCUUAUUAGUCUAACCAGUAACAAACUCUUAAAUAAAAUUCAAAUUUACAACGGAUUAAUCUACGAUCUAUCGAGCUAGUGAAUACCGUGAAAAUAAAAAAAAUAAAAAAAAACAAUGCAGUACGACAGAAUCAAUCAAAUAAUUAGCUCAGACGUUUAUUUAAGCCAAUAUCAAAUGUUCGAAUCAACCCUUAUAUGAUACAUUCCUAAAUGGAACUCAAGAUUUGGAAUGAUAGUAGUUCCCAAACAGUUGAAUUGGAUACUUGAUGAACACCAAGGUAAUGCCUCAAAUCUUAUUGCCAUUUUUCCUUGAUUGACAUUUUUCUCUAUUUUGCUUAUACAAAUUCAUUAAAUUUUACAGUAUAUCAUAUUUCAUCUCAUAUUUUAUUAUUAGUUCAGCACAUGCAAUUUUUACCAUCAUUGCAAUUCGUUGAUAUAAUCUAGCUAAAUAGGGAGUACUCAUUAUAUUAUAUAAUAUGAUAUCCCACAUGCAGAAUGAGAACAAUUACCCAUAAACUGUCCAAAGGCAGAGACAUUUUACAUCUACAACAUCAGCGAGUAUAUACCGUUUCGGAAGAGAAAACAAAUCCUCUAAGCCUAAACCAACCAAGAUCACAACAAGCACAACGAAGCUAUCCUUAAUCUUUUCCAGAGUUCAUAUGCAGGAUAUGUUCUAAGCACAAGGUGACAGGAAAAGAAAGAGAGCACUCCACAAACGUUUUGUGAAUCCCUUCUAGAAUCAGAUGAUACAUUCUGCAAUGAAAAACAAAUGCAAAAAAGGGGAACAUAGUCAGGAAUUAAAAGGCCAAGAUAUAUGAGACUCGAAGAAAUUUAAUAGAAGAGGCUGAAAAAUGAAGUGAAGAGAGUAAUGACAAUGGUUAUGUCUAAGAUAUCUAAUAAGUACUUGAAUGAGCAAGAGGAAUACUUUGUACAAGCGCGUUGCCGGUGCAAGCGCAAACAGAACCAUGAAGAGCAGAAGAUGAUACAUUGAUAACUUAAAACACUAUAUUUCUUUUAACAUCUAGAGACACAGCAGGAACAUCAAAAGAAAGAAUUAAAAAUGUUGAAGUGCACACCUCAAGAGACAGGAUCAAGCAAUGACUUGGCUCCAGCUAAUCCUCUGUUCCAAACCAACCAACAAUUAGGAGGCCAAAUUUCAAUUUUGCAACCAGUGUACGUAUACAAACAAAGGAAAUAUCAACAUUCAAUAUAUGGCACAUUCACUAAUAAUAGAGGUUUCACAUAACAUAGUUCAAUGAAUCAACACUCAUCCAGGCAAUGCCUCUGUUUAAUAUAAGAAUGCCAAGUGUUCACCAAUGAUCAGUAGUUGAAUGAAUAGAAACAAGAGCAUAUUGAGCCAUGCAGUUAACAUUUGUGGGGAAAGAGAUCAUUGCGUACAUUUACUGUUUACAUUCAUUAAGAAAAUGAUAAAAUCCUUUGGAAAUACUUUCUAUGUGGCACCUUAUGUGAAUCAACAUUGCAGCAACAAAUCUAGCUAGUCAAGGAUGUAUAUGUAAAUGGAGACUAUGGAGCUAAAUAAACAUCAAUGACCAGCUAAACGAAACAUGUAUACUUAUUUGCAACUUAAUAUCUGAUUUCAGAAUUCAGAAACUGUGACGUACAAUAGAGGUUCAAGAAGAACCACAGCAUUAUACAGCAUAAUGGUCCUCAUCAAUAAUAGCCGAUCCCUGGCCGGCUGUCCCUAAUGUUUAGAAUUAUCACAAACCAUGUGGAAUGCAAAUAUGCAAUAUCAAGGCAACUUUGUCCCUAGGUCAUAAGCCCGUAACAUCUAAAUUAAUAUUUACAUAAAACCAUGUCUUAUCAAAUUUGGGAUUAGCCAAAGUCUGUGUAUGCACAACGCAGCACCACACUACAUAUUUGAAAUUUGCAGCGGCAAGCAUAGUAGAUAUGCUUUGGGGAUCAAAUACAAUGACUAGUUUCUUCACAUGCUGUAGAAAAAGAUGCACAGAUAGGUACUAGGCAGAUUUAAAAUCAACAACUCACAGAUCUAACAUUCAAAACCUUAGUUUUGAUUCACCGUUGAUAUAUAUUAGUCGUAAAUAACAUGAUUGAGAGCAAUGUAACACUGAUUAUUACAACAUCCAUCAAUUAGGGGUUUGCUAACAAGCGCCCUAGAGACACUUAUUAAGCUUUUCAAUAUGACAAAUUCUUAGGGUUCUUAAUGCAUUGAAUGCCUUCGGAGUUUCAGAAGUUUAUUUCUUUCAUAAAAACUCACCAAUUUUGAAACCUUAUCAAACUAUCCUUAGAGCACUCAUUAGAAAACUUAUAACUAAUCACAAAAUCAACAAUACUAAUCUGUAGAAUAAUAGCAACCCUGCCUCAGAGCAUUCCACUACUAAAUUACCAGGAUCAAAACCAAAAGCUAAAUAUAACACAGCAUUAAUCUCAUGAUUUACAGCUAUCGAACCAACUAUGUGUCCAGAUCCCAAUCACAAUCCAUAACAUCAGCGAAGAACAAUAGGUUUGAUACAGAAAAGGAAACAUUUAAAUCCUCAAGCACGGGCAAUUAUUUCUGCAAUUCACAAAAUCAACAACAAAAGUUGCUUCUUACUAUAACUGCAAUAAAUUCCAUAACCUAAUCCAAGAACAAAAGCACCCACAGCUUAGUUUGGUUCAUAGUUUAGGGUUGCAAACAAAUAAACAAUAACUGAAUAACAUGCUCUAAGCGGAAAGCAACUUCUUAGUUAUGAGCUUAUGAUCAAACCAUGACUUUGCAGAUCAUGUUGAAACUCAAUAUGCACACUUCAAAUCAUUAGCAUAAACUAAAUAAAAGGUUCAAUCAGAAAAAUCAAUCAAUUGCAUAAUUCACAAAAGCAAAAUCAAAAUAAAAAUCAACAAGUCGUUGGGAAAAAAAAAUGAAACAAACGAACAAAUUCAACACCUUUUUUAUGUUCAUGCGGAACCGGCUUGAUCACCGCCUCGCCUUCCUUAACCGCCGCGACUGCAGCAGGAGCACCGCUUCCAGCAGCAGCGCUACCAGCAACCUCAGCGUCCUUAUCAUCGGGAUACCGUACAACGACGACAGGACAGACGCAGUGAUGAACACAAUAAUCACUGACGCUGCCUAGCUUCCCAUCGCUGCCGCGUCUGACUGCGCCAAAUCCCCUGCUUCCCAUGAUGACGGCGCUGAGCCCUAACCGCUCAACCUCGAGACACAGCCUCUCCUUCAUGUCAUGAUCCUUCACAAUGUGUAUCUUGUAAGGAAUCUGCGCCUCUCUAAGCGGUCGAGCCAGAUCCGCCGCCUUCGACGCCGUGAACGCGUCGAAGUCGUCCUCCAGCUUCCGGCGAUUGUCUCCGCCGCCAUGGUUAGCGGCAGCGACGGCCUCCUCCUCGGAGACGGGAUCAGUGUUGAUCGAGAGGUCGAUGGAGCCCCAAUCGGCGCCGAAUAGGACGUUGGUAGGGCUGACGUGGAGGAGCACGACCGCGUCUCCAGGGCGGAUGUAGUGGUGGACCGCCCAGCGGACGGCGUGGGCGCUCUCAUCAGAGAGGUCGACUGCUACGCCGAUCUUGCGGCGGGCGCCGGCAGUGGGCGUCGGGGUGGANNNNNNNNNNNNNNNNNNNNNNNNNNNNNNNNNNNNNNNNNNNNNNNNNNNNNNNNNNNUCAAUAUCGACAUUUUGGUUGUGCUGCAUUUUCUUUUUUUAAUUUUUUUUUCUUGAAAGUGUGGUAGUGUUGUUUUUGAAGACGACUUUGGACUUUGGAGUAGUUUUGCUUAGUUCUUGCAUUGUUCUGAAAAUCGAACCGGACCGGCCGGUUCGAUCGGAUUAAUCAGAAACCGAUCAUUUGUUCGGUUCGAUUUCUGUAAAAAACCGUUCUGCAAAAAAUCGGUUUAAAAACCGGUCAAACCAACAGUUAACCGGUGAACCGUCAAAACCGCUCGGUUUUUUUAUGGUUCAGUGAUAUAUAUAUUGUUUAAAAAAAAAAAAAACGUUCAGAACCCCUCAGGCCCUCACCCACCCCUGCCCCUUUCUCUCUCUCUCUCUCUCUCACUGGGCAAACUCAAACCCUAACGGCGGUAGGAACCCAACCCCAUCCCAUCGCCGAGCUCUUCUUUUCCGAUAGACGGUGUUGUCGCCGCUGGCAGAGACAGACUUGGGUGCCGUCUUCGAUUUUUUUUUAUCCCAAAAGACAUGCACAAAUAUAUCACUAUUAUAUAAUGUUUUUUUUUUAACUUAAUUUGUUUGACUUUGUUUUUAUAUGUGUAUACACAAUAUAUUGAUAUGAGAUUAGAUCUGAUUCGCACACUAAUGAAAUCGAAUUGCGAAUUUUAGGUAGAUUUUCGCAUAUCCUAUGAAUCUGCAAAAUAUAAAUAAAUAAGUAAUUUUUUUUAUAUUUUAUUUCAAAUAAUAAUUAUUAUAUAUGUUGUAUUAUUUUAUUUUUAUUAUUUAGAAAAAGUAUGUUUAAUAAUAUUUUAGAAGUUAAAAGAGUGAAAAAAAUAUUGAUUUUUUAAUAAAAAUAAGUUUUUUAAAAAUAUUUUAUAUUUUGCAAAUAUAUUCGAUUUGCAAAUGUGCGGAUCAGAUCCAAACUAAAAAGACGUAUAUAUUGGAUCCGAUCCGAUGAUUUUAGUGCAGACUGAAUUGAAAUUUUGACGAUCUGAUUCACAUUGCCUAGCUAUUUGCAUCUAAUGCAGUUCUUAUCUAUUUAAUAAAUCCUUUUUUUAACUUAAGUUAUCAUAGAUAGUAUUUUAAUUUAUGUUCUAUUAAUCAGAUCUCUAAAUAUCUCCACUUCUUUUCAAUUGUCUUGCACUUGUAUUUAUAGAGAAACCAGCUUCACAAAAACCGCUAGAACCUCCCACAGAUUGAACAUGCCAACGUUUCUUCAUAAAUCGAUAUCAGUAGCAGUUCAUGCAUUGCUUGAAUCCUUUAGAAACCGCUACAACCUCUACAGCCUCCAGCGAUUUCUAUUCAACACCUUUUCCCUUGUAAAAAAAUUACAAACAUGUCUUCCGUUUCAUAAAGUUGCAAUUGGAUAAAUUCCAAACUAAUUCAUUUAAUUAUGUAACUUGCCCUAAAUUUAAUAGAUAAAAUUACAUACAAAAUAAAUUCAUAAAAAUUCUCACUUCAUUUUUACUUCUCAAUCAAAAUAUCACUUAGAAAAAUGGAUUUCUUCCAGGCAAGCUUUUAAAUUUGUUUAUAAUAAGUUUGCGCAAAAUUUACUAUCAAAACUCCAAGUUUUCUCGAAAAGUUUAGGGUUAAGUACGAUUUUGGUCAUAAGAUAUAGAUUGAAAAUUUUUUUCAUUUCCAACUUUUUUUUGUAUAUAAAAUGGUCUCUAAGGUUUAAUUUGAAUUUAAAAUCGUCCCUAAGAUUUAACUUGGUUUUAAAUAUUUAGCUGUGAAAGCAGAGGCAGAGGUGAAUUAUGACCAGCUUUUUCUUCUUCCCUUCUCCCUUGUUCUUCUUCUCUUCCCCUUCGCAGGAGAAGAAACACUCUCCUUCUCUUAUUUUUCUUUUUUUUUUUAAUUUUAUAAUUUUUUGUUAUGGGUAAUUUGGUCCAAAAUUUUAAGAUUUAAGUAAAAAAAGACGAUUUUAAAAUUUGAUUUAAACCUUAGGGACAAUUUUGUAUAUAAAAAAAGAUUAGGCACGAAAAAAAUUUUCAAUCUAUUCCUUAGAGACAAAAAUCGUACUUAACCCAAAAAGUUUAAGAUAUAUAAGAUUGUCUUGGGGAAGAUCCUCUCGCAGCCUUAGUCUUCGCGGUGGAUAACUGCUUAAUUUGCAUACUCGAGGUUAAGGGAGGUUGAGGUCAAUUUUUAUUUUUCACCAUUGAAAAGUAAUUUUGCUUCCUAUAAGACCUUGGUAAAAGUAAAAGUUCUAUUUCUACCUUUGGACUUGGAAACACACCGAAUAAUCCAUGCAAAUUUUUACAAGGUUCAACCUAAGAAGUUCUAUACACGAUUCUACGAGGAAAUCCGUGAUUUCCAAAAGUUUGUGAAAUUUCCCAUGCAACAGCAAAAGCAAAGAAUUGCUACCAACGCAAGUUAGCACAAAUGGAUGAGGGUCUGUGUCCCUUAACCAUUUCUCCCGGGUUCGAUACUCACUGGAGAAUGGGAAUGGAGCUUGCUUGCUUGGGAGGGUCGCCUACUUUGUGUGCCUCUGCAGUACCCGAGGGAUUAGUUAUUGGGCUUCCGGCCUAAUGGAUACCCUGGUGCAAACCAAAAAAAAAAGCAAAGAAUUGCUUUCAACAGAGGCCAUCCACAAUAAAAGAAAUGCAAAAUCCAUAAUAUUGGUUUAAGCAACGUAACGAUUUGGUUCUACAUUGCAUAACGGAUACGGUAAUACCAUACAAUUACCUCCUUCAACAUCCUUAUAAAUAUCAAAUCGGGGGGCCAUUGACUACUCCCUUUCUCGCACCAAUUCCCUAGGUACCCCCUUAGGACUCAACUUUUACUACCAAAUAUAAUCCUUCAAAUACACAACUAUGGCACCCUGGCCUAGGUUACUUAUUCUCUUAACAUUUUUCUCUAACACUUUCUCUUACACAUUCACCAUAAUCAACAACUGCCCUCAUACUAUAUGGCCUGGUACACUUGCUGGUUCAGGGAGCCCUAAACUAUCAACGACUGGAUUCCAGUUGGACUCAGGCCAAAGUGUCAGACUAACCACGGUACCAGGAUGGUCGGGACGAAUAUGGGCAAGGACGGGUUGCAAAUUUGAUGUCACAGGAGCUGGCAAAUGCCUAACUGGUGACUGUGGGGGAAAACUGGAAUGUGAUGGAAAUGGUGCAGCACCUCCUACCUCACUGUUUGAGAUAACACUCAACGGAGCCAAUGGACAAGAUUUCUACGAUGUCAGCAUGGUAGAUGGCUACAAUUUGCCGUUAGUGGCUCUACCACGAGGUGUAUCUGGUGGAGCCUGUAAUGCUACAGGAUGCGUGACUGAUAUCAACAGAGGUAAGAGUUCAAAAGUACAUAAAGAAAAUAAACUAUACAGCUGAAAGCUAACAUGCGAGAAUAAAAAGGGUACCUUAUAGAAUUAUAAAAAAAUGCAAUGGUAUAGGUUGCCCUAGAGAACUUCAAGUGCUUGGUGAAGAAGGAAACCAGCGUGGUGUAGUAGGGUGCAGAAGUGCUUGUGAGGCAUUCAAGUCGGAUCGGUACUGCUGCGCUGGACAAUAUGCUAACCCAAAGAGUUGCCAGCCUACAUUUUAUUCAACUAUCUUCAAGAAGGCGUGUCCUAGAGCUUAUAGUUAUGCAUUUGAUGAUGGAACCAGCACUUUCACUUGCAAAGCUAGUGAAUAUGAGAUUGUUUUUUGUCCCUACAGGUUUACAACUAUGCAUCAUCUUCCACAACGUCUUUGCCUUCUUAGAAUUUGGAGCUUUUUUUGGAGCUUUUUUCUUUACUGUCUUAGGUUGUGGUUUUCCUCCAGUACUUCUACCUCUUUUCUUUUCAGCACCCUGUAUCCAAAUCUUAUACAAUUUAGUAUGUAUGCAGCAGCAUUUUCAUUUAUAAAGGGAGAAUCUGAAACCAAGAAAACUUUUUAGGAACUUACUGUUUUCUUGUCACCCUUCCCUUUGGAUUUACUGUGAGUUUCUUCCUCAGCAUGCUCAUUUUGAUCAGUUUGGGUGGCCUUUGGCAUCUUGCCAGCUUCCUCAUCUGAAUCGAAGGCAAAACCAUCCAGUGUCCCUUCUCACAUGAAAGGUUAAGAUGUGAGUAAAGGAGUUUAUUCAUAAUAUAAAGGAAAAACUACCAGAAAUAAAAGCCUCAAUUUGGUAGAUGCAAAUAACCUUCAACCAUAGUUUCAGCUUCAUAUACAUUAGAUUGUGGCUCCAGCUGUAUGAAGUCAUUCAUAAUGGCCUCUAUCUGAUGAAGAAAUAUUAAGAAUAGCAUCAAAAUAUCAGUUAAACAUAAUGACAGCAGAUAUUUAUCAUAAUCCUUGUCAGGGCUGAUACUGAUGAAUAACACAAAUAAAAAGUAGAAGAGAAACCUUGACAAUAAAUACAGAUUUAUAACUCAGGAUAGUAAUAAUUGCGUCAAACAAUUUUCAAAUAUGUGAGUAAAUACGAAAAUAUUAGAUAAUCAACAGACCUUUGCCUCGGAAUGUCCAAAGCUAACCUGAACAAAUAACAAGCUCGUAUCAGUGUUUGAAAAAUACAAGCAGGAAAGGUUUGAUAUAACUCGAUCAUGAAGGUAACUAGCCACAAGGACAUUACAAAUAAAAAUUUUAAAUGCAGAUUACAUCCAACUUAAUUACUUACCACACAAAAUGUCCGGCAAGGAACUAUAGAUGUUUUGUAUAUAGUUCCUGAAAUGAUGCCAACAAUACAAACAAUCAGAAACAGUUUGUCACUGCCUAAAACUAACACAGAAAAUGGAAUAUACUUAUAAUGAACAUAUUAUAAAGGCAUAUAACUUAGGAAAGGAAUGAAAAUAUAUUACGAGAAGUUUUUUCUUUCUUUUUUCUCUCUUUUUAAGCUAAAAGACUGAGGUAAUAUUUAUGAUGAUUUUUAUUUAAAUAAAAAAAAACAAUAUAAUAUGUCAUUAAGAAGAAAAGAAAGUACUGUGCUUAUGAUUCCGAUAUUCCUAUUUUUAAAAUACGAAGCAUGAGUCCUUUUGUAUUUUGGGAACUCCACAUGUAAUAAUUUUGCCAUAAGAAGUAAGUUGACAUUACUAAACUGUACUCUGUUUUUUCUUCACAUACUCACGCUACAAUAUUAUGAUUAAGAAAAUAUUUGUCCAUGUCUUUAUAUUGAUGAAACUCUCUGAUUUCUUUGGGAAUCAGAAAAUAUAUGAGCUAAAACAAAAAGUACCUUUCAAGUCUAAGUGCAUUUCCUGAUCUCUGGAUGCAGAAUCUGAAAUUAUAACCCGGCCUACAGCUCCCACAUCACCACUGAGAUCUAUGGAGUCACCUUGGCACUCAACAAGAGCCUGCAAAACCAAAGCUCCUCCUCAGGUACCCUUUCCAUUCUCAUGAAUUAAGAAGAGAACAUAACAACAUGGCCCUUCCAAUUACAAACACAACAUACAGCAAAGAAAAAUCCAUAACAUAUAGUUGCUAUCCUACCUUUGUGCGUUGAACUUUCUCAGAAAGCACCAAAGGCAGCCUUGAAGAGGAGACCUGCAAAUUACAAAUAGCACGCAAAAUCAGGAUGCUGGACUAGAUAACAAGAUAGCUUAUGAUGGCUAUCACUUAUUUCAGUUUCAAAGUCAUGGGAGUGUGGUGAGUCAUUAUAAUUAAUUAAUUAUUGUAGUCAUUCUUACAUUUGUCUCAAUGAGCUUUUCACAAGUUUCUUCCUCCUCAGCCUCCAGAUCUCCACCACUACCUGUCCCAUUUGUAGAAACCACAAGCACAUGGUCAGAAAUCCAUAAAAAGAGAAUGGAGUGAUAUCUUACAACUUAUAUGCCCAUACUAACCCAUUCCAUACCUCUCUCCUUUGCACUGCCCUUUGUUUUCUUCCCUUUCACUGGUGAAUGAUCUUCUUCUACAUGAAUUGGUUUCUGAGAAGACUUUCCUUUGGAACCCUUUCUGGAUGGAGACUUUCCAUCAUUGCCAAGGAUAAUUUUAUCCUUAGCUUCUUCACUAAUCAAUUGAGGUAUUUGUUGCUGAGAAGCUUCCACCUGAUUGUUACGAAUUUCUUUUUUGGGGCUAUGAUCAAGGCACGACUCAGAAUCCGAUGAUAGACUCAAAAUUGGAUAAACAGAUUCCUAUGCAAAAACAUUUGACUAAUCAGCAACCAGAAAGUAAUCGCAGCCAAGCGUUAGCAAGCCAAACACAUUUUUCUUAUAAAAUACAAGGGAAAAUAUGCUUCCUUUUUUCUGAUGAUAUAUCAUUCUUAAUCCUUUACCUAUCCGACCCUGCAAUGCUCAUAUUGGUGUUGUAGUAGGAAACAGAAUUAUUCUAAGGACGAGAAAAAAUGGUAUACUGGUUAGAUAUUCUAUGCUUGAUGGAUUAGAAUCCUCUUGAUGUUCAAGGAUGAAAUAUCAAUAGCUUCUCUAAAACUACUGAUCCCACCUAAGAAUUAAUGGGGCAAGGUUCUUACUUUAUGCUCGACAUGCAUGUCAUUGUUUGAAUCAAUGCUAAUCUUCCUUUCCUCUAUGUCUCCUGCAUCAUAAGAGACCAAACGACAAUUCAAUAAAGUAGCAAAUUGUAAAAUGAUUGUUGCAUGCUAUCACUAGAUAGAAACAAAGCCUGAUAUGUUAAUGAUAUCAUGUUUUUAGGGGGGAAAUAAAACUAUAUGCAGAUUGGUUUUAAAUUAGAAGUACAAAAAAAUAAUAGCUCCAAUGUGUGUAAGUCAUGGGUCUUUUGUGUUUAAUUGAUUCCAAAAAAAAUCCCCUAGAUUUUACUUAUAUUGAGAGUAAAAUUUGGAAAAUUUUAGAAAUAUAGAGAAGGCAUCAAACGCGGGAGACUCUCUCAGCAAUUAGUAUAGAUAAUCUAUACAGCCUUUUUUCUGUUCUGUUAAUAAACAAUUAAUUAGGAUUGCAUCACUCAUGUCCUAGACCUCUGAACUUAAAUGUUCUAUUUACUCAUCAAUACAGAACUCUAAACACAAAUACAAAUCAGUAUACCUUCUGCAUUUUGCUUCUCUGAUUUCUUUCUUCUAGAUGACGUAGUACAACCUUCUAUUUCAACAGCAGCUACUUCUAAUGUCUUUCUAGGUGAAGACUUAUAACGGCUUUUGCCAAGACCAGUGCUCCUGCUCUUACUCUUAUUCUUACUCUUACACUUGCUGAUCUCCAGAGAUGAUCCUUCAGCAUCAGUCUCAUCCCCAAUUGACAGGCUAUCGUCAUGUAAGGACUUGGAAUCAGAUGACAGUAUCAAUGGCGAAUGUGAUGGCACCUAGUCAAUAAUAAUAAAAUUUAUCUGAGGAUAGUAAUAAUUGCGUCAAACAAUUUUCAAAUAUGUGAGUAAAUACGAAAAUAUUAGAUAAUCAACAGACCUUUGCCUCGGACUGUCCAAAGCUAACCUGAACAAAUAACAAGCUCGUAUCAGUGUUUGAAAAAUACAAGCAGGAAAGGUUUGAUAUAACUCGAUCAUGAAGGUAACUAGCCACAAGGACAUUACAAAUAAAAAUUUUAAAUGCAGAUUACAUCCAACUUAAUUACUUACCACACAAAAUGUCCGGCAAGGAACUAUAGAUGUUUUGUACAUAGUUCCUGAAAUGAUGCCAACAAUACAAACAAUCAGAAACAGCUUGUCACUGCCUAAAACUAACACAGAAAACGGAAUAUACUUAUAAUGAACAUAUUAUAAAGGCAUAUAACUUAGGAAAGGAAUGAAAAUAUAUUACGAGAAGUUUUUUCUUUCUUUUUUCUCUCUUUUUAAGCUAAAAAACUGAGGUAAUAUUUAUGAUGAUUUUUAUUUAAAUAAAAAAAAAACAAUAUAAUAUGUCAUUAAGAAGAAAAGAAAGUACUGUGCUUAUGAUUCCGAUAUUCCUAUUUUUAAAAUACGAAGCAUGAGUCCUUUUGUAUUUUGGGAACUCCACAUGUAAUAAUUUUGCCAUAAGAAGUAAGUUGACAUUACUAAACUGUACUCUGUUUUUUCUUCACAUACUCACGCUACAAUAUUAUGAUUAAGAAAAUAUUUGUCCAUGUCUUUAUAUUGAUGAAACUCUCUGAUUUCUUUGGGAAUCAGAAAAUAUAUGAGCUAAAACAAAAAGUACCUUUCAAGUCUAAGUGCAUUUCCUGAUCUCUGGAUGCAGAAUCUGAAAUUAUAACCCGGCCUACAGCUCCCACAUCACCACUGAGAUCUAUGGAGUCACCUUGGCACUCAACAAGAGCCUGCAAAACCAAAGCUCCUCCUCAGGUACCCUUUCCAUUCUCAUGAAUUAAGAAGAGAACAUAACAACAUGGCCCUUCCAAUUACAAACACAACAUACAGCAAAGAAAAAUCCAUAACAUAUAGUUGCUAUCCUACCUUUGUGCGUUGAACUUUCUCAGAAAGCACCAAAGGCAGCCUUGAAGAGGAGACCUGCAAAUUACAAAUAGCACGCAAAAUCAGGAUGCUGGACUAGAUAACAAGAUAGCUUAUGAUGGCUAUCACUUAUUUCAGUUUCAAAGUCAUGGGAGUGUGGUGAGUCAUUAUAAUUAAUUAAUUAUUGUAGUCAUUCUUACAUUUGUCUCAAUGAGCUUUUCACAAGUUUCUUCCUCCUCAGCCUCCAGAUCUCCACCACUACCUGUCCCAUUUGUAGAAACCACAAGCACAUGGUCAGAAAUCCAUAAAAAGAGAAUGGAGUGAUAUCUUACAACUUAUAUGCCCAUACUAACCCAUUCCAUACCUCUCUCCUUUGCACUGCCCUUUGUUUUCUUCCCUUUCACUGGUGAAUGAUCUUCUUCUACAUGAAUUGGUUUCUGAGAAGACUUUCCUUUUGAACCCUUUCUGGAUGGAGACUUUCCAUCAUUGCCAAGGAUAAUUUUAUCCUUAGCUUCUUCACUAAUCAAUUGAGGUAUUUGUUGCUGAGAAGCUUCCACCUGAUUGUUACGAAUUUCUUUUUUGGGGCUAUGAUCAAGGCACGACUCAGAAUUCGAUGAUAGACUCAAAAUUGGAUAAACAGAUUCCUAUGCAAAAACAUUUGACUAAUCAGCAACCAGAAAGUAAUCGCAGCCAAGCGUUAGCUAGCCAAACACAUUUUUCUUAUAAAAUACAAGGGAAAAUAUGCUUCCUUUUUUCUGAUGAUAUAUCAUUCUUAAUCCUUUACCUAUCCGACCCUGCAAUGCUCAUAUUGGUGUUGUAGUAGGAAACAGAAUUAUUCUAAGGACGAGAAAAAAUGGUAUACUGGUUAGAUAUUCUAUGCUUGAUGGAUUAGAAUCCUCUUGAUGUUCAAGGAUGAAAUAUCAAUAGCUUCUCUAAAACUAUUGAUCCCACCUAAGAAUUAAUGGGGCAAGGUUCUUACUUUAUGCUCGACAUGCAUGUCAUUGUUUGAAUCAAUGCCAAUCUUCCUUUCCUCUAUGUCUCCUGCAUCAUAAGAGACCAAACGACAAUUCAAUAAAGUAGCAAAUUGUAAAAUGAUUGUUGCAUGCUAUCACUAGAUAGAAACAAAGCCUGAUAUGUUAAUGAUAUCAUGUUUUUAGGGGGGAAAUAAAACUAUAUGCAGAUUGGUUUUAAAUUAGAAGUACAAAAAAAUAAUAGCUCCAAUGUGUGUAAGUCAUGGGUCUUUUGUGUUUAAUUGAUUCCAAAAAAAAUCCCCUAGAUUUUACUUAUAUUGAGAGUAAAAUUUGGAAAAUUUUAGAAAUAUAGAGAAGGCAUCAAACGCGGGAGACUCUCUCAGCAAUUAGUAUAGAUAAUCUAUACAGCCUUUUUUCUGUUCUGUUAAUAAACAAUUAAUUAGGAUUGCAUCACUCAUGUCCUAGACCUCUGAACUUAAAUGUUCUAUUUACUCAUCAAUACAGAACUCUAAACACAAAUACAAAUCAGUAUACCUUCUGCAUUUUGCUUCUCUGAUUUCUUUCUUCUAGAUGACGUAGUACAACCUUCUAUUUCAACAGCAGCUACUUCUAAUGUCUUUCUAGGUGAAGACUUAUAACGGCUUUUGCCAAGACCAGUGCUCCUGCUCUUACUCUUAUUCUUACUCAUCAAAUUGAACUUCCAAUUCAUCUGAUUUCCAAACCCUAAAUUUUAAGGAUUAAAUUAUAUACUUUCCACUUCAUCUGAUAUCUCAAAAUAACCUCCAAUUCAUAAGUGAGCUUUCUCAAAAUUAAAAAGAAUGGGUCAGAAUGAAAGUGGUAAAAAAUGCAAACCUCAAAGGCUGAGACAGCUGGGGAGGCAGAGGCAGGGAAACACUGGAUCAAGGAGGCUGGUGUCUGGAGCAGGAAGUCAGAGGCAGGGGACCGCUGGAGGCAGAGGCAGGAUCGCAGCAAGGCAGUGGCGCCGCAAAAUACGGAGGCCAGGCACUCGCCACUCGGGCAGGCAGCGGAAUGCAAGCUGUGCAGCGAGGGGGUAGGAGAGGACUGGGAGGAGCAAGUGGGUACUUAGAGCUAAGAAAAGAGGCUAGUGAUAGGCUGGUGGCACUUCGCAGGUCGGAGAGGAAGAGUGCGAGAUGGAUGGGUGGGCGGGCCGGUGGGGCAGGUGAGUUCAAGCCUAAAGUUAUACUUCACAAGUCACAAGUAAAUCACCAACUGCGCGUCUCCCACAAAAUUAUUAGUAAAUACUUCUUGCAUUACCUGAAUUGAGAAUAUAUGAUAUUAUGAUCUGAAGUAUAUCCAUCUGUUGUCUGUGUAUCUAAUGACGGGGAUUAAUUGUGCCUUGCAUUUCCUCUGUAGUCAUGAUUUCCCAAAACUAUACAAGGAAAAAGAAUUGUUAGUUACGUAUUUUUUAUUUAAUCCUAAUUUGAAAAGUUUGUUCAUUCAUUGUUAGAUUUUGGUGAAUGAUUCUUGAAAGGCUGGAUCAUGC